rnacentral:rRNA from 1 species
CGCGAAUGGCUCAUUACAACAGCUAUAAUUUACUUGAAUUUGACAACCCUACUUGGAUACCGGUGGUAAUUCUAGCGCUAAUACAUGCACCAAAGCUCCGACCGCGAGGGAAGAGCGCAUUUAUUAGAACAAAACCACACGGCUUCGGCCGUUCAAUGUUGACUCAGAAUAACUAAGCUGAUCGCAUGGUCUUGCACCGGCGACGUUUCUUUCAAGUAUCUGCCUUAUCAACUUUCGAUGGUAGUGUAUCUGACUACCAUGGUGAUGACGGGUAACGGAGGAUAAGGGUUCGACUCCGGAGAAGGGGCCUGAGAAAUGGCCACUACGUCUAAGGAUGGCAGCAGGCGCGCAAAUUACCCACUCUCAGUACGAGGAGGUAGUGACGAGAAAUAACAAGACCGUUCUCACAAGAGGCCGGUCAUUGGAAUGGGUACAAUUUAAACCCUUUAACGGGUAUCUAUGAGAGGGCAAGUCUGGUGCCAGCAGCCGCGGUAAUUCCAGCU